rnacentral:rRNA from 1 species
CACGUAGGGUGCGAGCGUUGUCCGGAAUUAUUGGGCGUAAAGAGCUCGUAGGCGGUGUGUCGCGUCGGCCGUGAAAACCUGGGGCUUAACUCUGGGCGUGCGGUCGAUACGGGCAUCACUGGAGUUCGGCAGGGGAGACUGGAAUUCCUGGUGUAGCGGUGAAGUGCGCAGAUAUCAGGAGGAACACCGGUGGCGAAGGCGGGUCUCUGGGCCGAUGACUGACGCUGAGGAGCGAAAGCGUGGGGAGCGAACAGGA